UUCAAGGGAAUCGCAAUGCAGACAUCUACCAGCACCUGUGGAGUAUUCAUACUCAUGUAUGUGCUCUGCAUUGUGCUGGAUCGAACCUUUGACUUCACUGAGCCCAACAUGAUGCACAUCAGAAAGUGGUGGCGUGCUCUACUGAUGGAGUACGAGGAGCGACAUGGAUAACACAGACGAGCCUGCAAUCGUUAAGGACAUGCGCCCUGCCGUGCAGUAUAUUGAGGACAACCAAUUGAAGUUCCUGGGUGGUGUGAAAGGGCUGAAAUUGCUCAUUUUGAAGGAGGAGGACCGACAAAGAAUAUUGAUGGCAACCAGAGAGGGGGAUCUGGAGGGAACUGGAAUUCCUCCUCUUUUCCCUCGAUCUGGAGGAAGACAUGUAGUACUUCAUGGAGGUCUGCGAUGAUCAGCAAAGCCUUUGACUCAGUGCAGCGUUUCUCAACUGACCACACACAUACAGAGGUUUGGACGCAGGGCUACGGCGUGCCUCU